rnacentral:lncRNA from 1 species
UUGCCUUGGCCAUUUGAAUGUGAAGAGCAUGAGAGAGCUCAAGACCAUGGUAACUCGCUUAAAUUUUGGCAAUACAAGCCAAAAUGCAAAACAACUUGCAUGUGAAGGAUGCAUACAAGCCAAACAACAAAGGGCUUCAUUUCUAAAGAAUAUAGCAACAUGUGCUACCAAGUUGCUGAUUAUUGUCCAUUCGGAUGUAUGUGGACGUUUGAAGAAUACAAGUAUUGGAGAAUCAAGGU